CCAAGCCCUUCUAUUGUUGGGCAAAAAAAAAAUGAAAUUACAGAAAUUCCCCAAACCCGAUCGACCAAACACAAAAAAUUCGAAAUCACUAGAGCAAUUUCCCGCUUCUUUCUCUAUUCUCUACUAGCGAAGCUUUUCGCUUUUUCAAAUUUUCAUCGUCGAAUCCCUCCAAAUUCUCCUCCCAUCAUCUUCUACCCGGGUUCAGCGCACAGUGUGCUAGGGUUUCAAACUCGGAAACCUAAUUGUGCUCUCCGCUUUCUCGACGUAUCCUACAAUUCCUCACUUCGCUGCAUCUGUCUGUUCUGAACUUCUUACACUGUGAUUUCAUCGUUUCAAUUUCUUUAUCUAAGCCUUCAAACUCAGGUUAUUGAAUUCUCUGCAUUUUUUUUGACUCUUUGAGCAUUGCUCGACUAUUCUAGGGUUUCAGUUCGUCAGAUCUGCGAGUUGAUGGUAUUUUGUCGCUAUAUAGGGUUUUGGCUUCGUAUUUACUUUCCUUAGUUUGGUUUGUCUCUAGAUUGUUUGGAAACGAUGUAUGUAAAGGAGAUAUGCUUGGAAGGGUUCAAAUCAUAUGCCACAAGGACGGUGGUUCAAGGUUUUGACCCCUAUUUCAAUGCGAUCACGGGGCUGAACGGCUCAGGAAAAUCUAAUAUUCUAGAUUCGAUUUGCUUCGUUUUGGGUAUAACAAAUUUGCAGCAAGUUCGUGCUUCAAAUCUCCAAGAGCUCGUGUACAAGCAAGGGCAAGCAGGGAUUACUAAGGCAACAGUGUCAAUUGUAUUUGAUAACUCAAAUAAGAGCCGGAGUCCCCUUGGGUAUGAGGGUCAUCCAGAGAUCACGGUAACAAGGCAGAUCGUAGUUGGAGGAAGAAACAAAUAUCUGAUCAAUGGAAAGCUAGCCCAACCCAGUCAAGUCCAGAACCUUUUUCAUUCAGUACAGCUUAAUGUUAAUAAUCCACAUUUUCUAAUCAUGCAAGGCCGGAUCACCAAGGUUUUAAACAUGAAACCUCCUGAAAUCCUCUCUAUGCUUGAAGAGGCUGCGGGGACAAGAAUGUAUGAGACAAAGAAGGAAGCUGCUCUGAAAACACUUGAGAAGAAGCAGAGUAAGGUUGAUGAGAUCAAUAAGCUUCUGGACCAGGAAAUACUUCCUGCUUUGGAGAAAUUGAGGAAAGAACGGAUGCAGUACAUGCAAUGGGCCAAUGGUGCUGCUGAAUUAGAUAGACUUAAAAGAUUUUGCAUUGCUUAUGAGUAUAUUCAAGCUGAGAAAAUCAAAGACAGUGCAGUCGGUGAAGUCGAAAAAGUAAAAGCAAAGAUAACUGAAAUUGAUGGCAACACAGAAAUGAUUUUGGGCAAAAUUCAGGAAAUGGAGAUGCAAGUAUCUCAAUUAGCUGCUGAAAAGGAAGCCAGUAUGGGUGGUGAAGUUAAAAUUUUUUCAGAGAAAGUAGACAUGCUUUCUCAAGAGUUAGUGCGGGAAGCAUCUAUACUGAGAAGUAAGGAAGACACUCUCAAAAGCGAAGAAGAUAAUGCUCAAAAGGUUGUUUGUAAUCUUGAAGAAUUAAAGCAGUCAGUAGAAGAGAGGGCUUCUGCUGUCAGAAAGUCUGAAGAAGGAGCAGCUGAUUUAAAGAAGAAUUUUGAGGAGCUUUCUAAGAGUUUAGAAGACUAUGAAAAGGACUACCAGGGUGUGCUAGCUGGCAAGAGCAGUGGAAAUGAGGAAAAAUGCCUUGAAGACCAACUAGGUGAUUCUAAGGUUGCUGUUGGGAGUGUUGAAACUGAAUUGAAACAGUUGAAGACAAAAAUUAGUCACUGUGAGAAAGAGCUGAAGGAAAAAACACAGCAGUUGAUGAAUAAGCGAGAAGAAGCUGUUUCUGUAGAAAAUGAACUAAAUGCUAGAAGAAAAGAUGUUGAAACUGUUAAAAAGGUUAUGGAAUCACUUCCUUAUAAAGAAGGCCAGAUGGAAGAUUUACAGAAGGAUCGUGCAUCUGAAUUGGAGCUUGUGCAAAAGUUGAAAGAUGAAAUAAGAGAUCUAUCAGCACAAUUAGCUAAUGUUCAGUUCACAUACCGGGAUCCUGUGAAAAAUUUUGACAGGUCAAAAGUGAAAGGCGUUGUUGCACAACUUAUCAAAGUAAAGGAUAGCUCCACAAUGACUGCCUUAGAGGUCACUGCUGGGGGAAAGUUAUUUAAUGUUGUAGUUGACACUGAAAACACUGGAAAACAGCUGCUUCAAAAUGGUGAUCUUCGAAGAAGAGUAACAAUUAUACCUUUGAACAAAAUUCAAUCCCAUACUGCUCCUCCUAGGGUGCAACAGGCUGCUGCUAAAUUGGUUGGCAGGGAAAAUGCGGAAUUGGCGCUUUCUUUGGUCGGUUAUGAUGAAGAAUUGAAGAGAGCUAUGGAAUAUGUAUUCGGUUCAACAUUUGUUUGCAAAACGAUUGAUGCUGCCAAGGAGGUUGCUUUUAAUAGGGAAGUUCGUACACCGAGUGUGACUCUAGAAGGUGAUAUUUUUCAACCAAGUGGUCUUUUGACUGGAGGAAGCCGCAAGGGUGGUGGUGAACUUUUAAGGCAACUUCAUGUUUUGGCAGAAUCUGAAUCAAAGCUUGCUAUUCAUCAAAAGAGGUUAAGUGAAAUUGAAGCAAAGAUUGAGGAGCUUCUUCCUCUUCAGAAAAAGUUCAUGGAUCUUAAAGCAGAUUUAGAGCUUAAAAUGUAUGACCUUUCAUUAUUUCAGAGCAGGGCAGAGCAAAAUGAGCAUCAUAAGCUUGGUGAAAUGGUAAAAUCAAUUGAGAAAGAUCUUGAAGCAGCAAAAUCAGCAGCCAAAGAAAAGCAAGUGUUGUAUGAAAAGUGUGUUAGUAUUGUGUCAUUGCUGGAGAAAUCAAUCAAAGAGCAUGAUAAUAAUCGAGAGGGCCGGCUGAAAGACUUGGAAAAGAAGAUUAAGGUCAUCAAAUCUCAAAUGCAGUCGGCUUCAAAAGAUCUCAAGGGACAUGAAAAUGAAAGAGAGAGGCUUAUCAUGGAAUGCGAAGCUCUCACACGGGAAAAUGCAUCGUUGGAGAGUCAAUUGGCUUCUUUGAGAACACAAAUUGCCAAUCUCACAUCAGAAGUAAAAGAACAGGAAGUGAAGGUUUCGUCAACAAAAGGUAAUCAUGAACAAGCUCAGUCUGAGCUGAAUGCGAUUCGUUUGAAGAUAAAAGAAUGUGAUUCCCAAAUCAGUUGCAUCAUCAAGGAGCAGCAAAAACUGCAACACAGGGUCACGGAGACUAAACUCGAGAGAAAGCGGAUGGAGAAUGAGGUGAAACGAAUGGAGGUUGAGCAGAAAGAUUGCUCUAUGAAGGUAGAAAAAUUGCUCGAGAAGCAUACAUGGAUUGCAUCUCAGAAGCAACUAUUUGGAAGGAGUGGGACAGAUUAUGAUUUUAUCUCCCGCGAUCCUUGUAAAGCAAGGGAAGAACUUGAAAAACUGCAAGCAGAACAAUCAGGUCUUGAGAAAAGGGUGAACAAGAAAGUUAUGGCUAUGUUUGAGAAAGCAGAAGAUGAAUACAAUGAUCUGAUGUCAAAGAAAAAUAUUAUUGAGAAUGACAAGUCCAAGAUAAAGAAGGUAAUUGAUGAGCUAGAUGAGAAAAAGAAGGAAACGCUGAAGGUUACUUGGGUUAAGGUCAACACUGACUUUGGAUCCAUCUUUUCUACCUUGUUGCCAGGCACAAUGGCAAAGCUAGAACCUCCUGAAGGAUGCAGUUUUCUGGAUGGCCUGGAAGUUCGUGUUGCAUUUGGAGGUGUUUGGAAACAGUCCUUGUCAGAACUCAGUGGCGGCCAAAGAUCUCUUCUUGCUCUUUCUUUAAUAUUAGCAUUGCUACUUUUCAAACCAGCUCCACUUUAUAUUCUGGAUGAGGUUGAUGCUGCCCUUGAUUUAAGCCACACACAAAACAUAGGGAAGAUGAUUAAGGCUCACUUUCCACAGUCUCAGACGAGGACGUUCUACAUGUAUGGAAUUUAUCAGUUAGUAAAUCUAGCAACUUAAACAAUGGUGGGCUCAGAUUAUUCCUGACCCAUGGCUCAGCCAGUUUGAUGAGAUAGUGCAAGUUUCAGAAUCUACCGUAGAUUAUGUUUCAUUCAUUUGUGCAGAGGGGAUGUGAGCUAUUACUUAAAUGCAUCCAUUUAACUGAGAAAGAAUGAAAUUUACACAAUUAUUGAGUUCUUACAUUAAAAUUUUUUUACUUUUGAUUAUUGACUUCUGUCUUGCAGUUUAUUGUUGUUUCACUGAAGGAAGGCAUGUUCAAUAAUGCCAAUGUUCUUUUCCGGACAAAAUUUGUGGAUGGUGUUUCCACUGUCCAGAGAACUGUCACACCUAUUCAGAACAAAUGAUUUCUAUGGUUGUGACUAAGUGAAUGUCUAGUAAUUCGGGAAUUUUGCAGUUACCUCUGCCAUGAUGGUUCUAGACCACCGGUACAUUGUAUGUGCAUGCUAAUUAUGUAAUUAGUUAAAAUUAAUAUCUACUUCUCUUGUAUAUAUACUUAUACAGCUUAUCCUCUCAAAUAUGUUCUUUCUCAAAGUUUUUUCAGUAUGUUUGUUCGCUCUUGUAGCUGGCUCUCUAGCACUUGAGUAUGAUUACUUGGUAUAUGUACUGUGAAUUUUGAA